rnacentral:sRNA from 3 species
ACUCAACACUAAUUUGUUUGAAAAGGGUGAGUUUAGAUUGUAAAAGCAUGCCUUGCUAGUUUCUAGUUUAAGGAUCCUUGAUCAGUCUGGUAGCCCUAAACCUGUUUAUCGGGGUUU